rnacentral:lncRNA from 1 species
UAUACAUCUUCCUGCUGAUCCAUGCUGGACUUCCUGACAAUAUGCGACACAUUCGCCUGCCAACACUUGCUUGUUAAGACUUGUUGGCAGACUUUACCACUGAUUGGUUAUAAGUUGAAUUUUGUGUUUACAGGUACUCCUCACUUUACGACCUACUUGUUUCAUAUGCUCACACUCACGACUGAGUUUACGAUUGUUUUUUUAAUGAAAAAUUUGGUUUUUGCCUAUAUGCGAAGCAUACGAUUUUUAUUGCAUAUAAUUCCUGCACUCAUAGUUCCAAAAAUUUGAAGAAAAAUACUGUGUGCAUAAUUAAAACAUAAAUUUUUAAGUUUUGAAAUUUGUUUCGAAUAUUUUCU